UAGGUCGACCCGCUGAACUUAAGCAUAUCAAUAAGCGGAGGAAGAGAAACCAACAGGGAUUCCCUCAGUAACGGCGAGCGAAGUGGGAAGGUGCCCAGGUCUGGAAUCUCCGGUCGGGCYGAGAACGACCGGCGAAUUGUGGUCUGGAGAGACGGACUGUUCCCUUCCACCGCUCCGGACGGGCCCGAAGUCGACUUGGAACGGCGUGCCGGAGAGGGUGAGAGCCCCGUAGGGCCGGGAAACCGAGAGCGGGGGGACGAGGGUCCGUACUCGUCGAGUCGGGUUGUUUGGGAGUGCAGCCCAAAGCGGGUGGUAGACUCCAUCCAAGGCUGAAUACGGSCGCGAGACCGAUAGCGAACAAGUACC
rnacentral:rRNA from 1 species